AAUGUCGAUUUAAAAAUUAGUCUGUUUGGAGUUCCUAAAACUUCUCCUUUAAGGGAUGAGUGGGAAAAAAUAUUAGAUGUUAGUUUUCAAACUAACUCUAAAGUAUGUCGUUACCAUUUUAAGAAAGAGGAUGUAGUUGAUACUUGGGAAUCUGGUACAGGAUUUAGUAAGUAUACAGUAAAUAAAAUAAUAUUAUUUAAUUAUAUUUUUAUUAUAUACCUAGCUUCGUGAAGGAUACCCAUACUUUUACAAAUUCAUAUUUUCAGAUAUGUUUGAAAAAGCCCAGGCUUGUUAAAGAUGCGAUUCCUAUUGGAUUAAGUUUUUUGUUAGCAGCAUCUAAUGUACAAGCACAACCUCAAGUAGAACUCUUCGAAGAUGAUUUAAAUGCAACCAACAUAUCACAAAAAAGUAAUACCUCAACUUCUAACUCACCUGAAGAGGUUUAAUUACUGAGAAUACUGAAAGCAUUCUAUAAAGUUGGAGGAAAGAAGGACAAGAAGGAUGGUCGUUUGGACCAGCCACUUGCCGUAUAAUUCCAAAAAAUGUCUGUAAAAUAAAUAUUAGUUUUGAUGAAAUCAUUAUCUAGAA